GUCCCAGAAGAGAUGAUUGGACACUCUCAAGCGUGGUGCUGGACUUUGUCAUCUCUUGCACAGCCAUCUCCACACCUUAGUGCUUACCUCAUGUUAGUUUUUUAUAUUCUGCAAAGACGAAACCAAAAUAAUCCAAAUUUGACACAAAUACCUGGGCUACAUCUUAUUUGAGAUGUUUAACAAAUGUCUGGAUCAUCUUUUCUUAUAUAUUACGCAGGAAACACUGUGAAGUAAGCAAAGUUGGAAUGCCCAAGUGAAAGACCAUUUGAAUAUUUACAAGUAGAUUUCAGACAGGAAUACUACAGGGUGGUCACAGGAUAACAAAUUCUAGGCAGCAGAUUUACAUGACUUGAGGCUGUGGGCUGUUAAGACGCUGAAAAACCAGGGUGUGGACCAAGCUGGCUAAGGCUGAGUGGACCCAACAUGGUGCUGGAUUGGAUGGAGGUUUUACCUAGGCCCUCAUUAUAUGCUCAUUAACAUACUAAAUCACACACCCGCCAGUGCCAUGACAGUUCUGAGACCAGUGUUUGAUGUAAAAAUGGCACCACAGUUCCAAGAAAUCUCCACCUUUACCCAGGAAUUUUCGUGAACAUUCCACUCCUUGGUUAAAGAAACCCAUCAAGAUGAAACCCCAGAACCCAUUAUUCUCUCUUGGGUAUGCCCAAGCUCCCCUUUCUUGAGAGUGUACUUUUUGCUUUGCAAUAAAUCUCUUCUUUCACUAUCUGCUGACUCAUCUUUGACUUUGUUCUCGCGAUGGUGUCAAGAGCCUGGACACCACGGCUGGGGUCGAGAUCCCACCAGUGUCCAGGGACCUCCCCCAGCCCACCAGUAUCAGAUUCUAUUCCAUUGCUCAAAUCACAAAACAUCGAGUGGAGAGUUCUCUUUGGAGACCGUAAAGUAAAGAUUCUGUGGCAUGGUGGCCAGUUAGGCCACUGGAAGCAUGGCAAAAUAUUGAAAAUGAGGGAUUGGGUGACAGUGUAGUAACUGCUGAAUACUAAAUACUUGAUCCAGGCCCCAUUCCCUGGAGAUUGACAGGGAGACACAUUGUCCAGGUAGUAGUGGAGAAAUGCUUUCUGGGUAUCUGACCAGCCUUUGUGGAAAGAACUGGCACCAUCCUGCAGAUGUAACCACCUGAUGGGUUCUUCCUGACCAAUGUACACAAAAAUUCAAUUCAUGGAGACCAUGGCACUGCAGGCAAGAGUUUCAUUGACACAGGCCAGCCACGACAUGUGGGAGACAGAGUUAUUACUCAAAGCAAUCUCACUGAAGGCUUGGAGGGCCCACCGGGCAGGACCACUGAGCAAGGCCUUGGAAAACCAGAGAGAUUAGAGCGAAUGGGGAAAUGGAGAGAGAACCUGAAAGAGCCCCAAACUCGAGGACCUAUUGCUCCCCAAGAAUAACAUCUUCCAGAAGAACUAGACAGAAAACUAGGCGUCUGGGAACUCUGAAAUCCUUGGAGGAGUAGCAUCAUCAUGACCCUCUGUGUUCCUUUUGGCAAAGGACUUGCUCCCAUUGUUUGCUUGUUCAAUUGUCUGUCCGUUAAAUAAAUAAAACCCUU
ensembl:lncRNA novel transcript